rnacentral:rRNA from 1 species
GGGUUGUGAGGUUAAGCGACUAAGCGUACACGGUGGAUGCCCUGGCAGUCAGAGGCGAUGAAGGACGUGCUAAUCUGCGAUAAGCGUCGGUGAGGUGAUAUGAACCGUUAUAACCGGCGAUUUCCGAAUGGGGAAACCCAGUGUGUUUCGACACACUAUCAUUAACUGAAUCCAUAGGUUAAUGAGGCGAACCGGGGGAACUGAAACAUCUAAGUACCCCGAGGAAAAGAAAUCAACCGAGAUUCCCCCAGUAGCGGCGAGCGAACGGGGAGGAGCCCAGAGCCUGAAUCAGUGUGUGUGUUAGUGGAAGCGUCUGGAAAGGCGUGCGAUACAGGGUGACAGCCCCGUACACAAAAAUGCACAUAUUGUGAGCUCGAUGAGUAGGGCGGGACACGUGGUAUCCUGUCUGAAUAUGGGGGGACCAUCCUCCAAGGCUAAAUACUCCUGACUGACCGAUAGUGAACCAGUACCGUGAGGGAAAGGCGAAAAGAACCCCGGCGAGGGGAGUGAAAAAGAACCUGAAACCGUGUACGUACAAGCAGUGGGAGCCUCUUAAUGGGGUGACUGCGUACC